UACGUAGGGGGCAAGCGUUGUCCGGAUUUAUUGGGCGUAAAGCGCACGCAGGCGGUCUGCCAAGUUCGGAGUGACAGUUUCCGGCUUAACUGGGAAAGGUCUUCGAAAACUGGUGGACUUGAGAACUUGAGGGGGAGACGGAAUUCCGGGUGGAGCGGUGAAAUGCGUAGAGAUCCGGAGGAACACCGAAGGCGAAGGCAGUCUCCUGG
rnacentral:rRNA from 1 species